rnacentral:lncRNA from 1 species
GUCGGGUUCCGCCUGAGCCAAGGCCCCGCACCCAAACCGAGACAGCGGAUCCAGUAGCCCGAGGCCCGCAGCUGGGCGAAGGAACCGGGACUCAAGAGUAGCCUCCGGCACCGAGCCCUCCAAGAAAAGCAGCCCGGGACCCCGACAACCGUGGACGGAGCCAGGGUGGGUCAUAGCUCGAGGCAUCGUCAACGGAGGGUCCUUAAGAGACCCUGAACCCAUUCACCCGGGCACCAGAGACUCUGCCAAAGCACCAAUUCGGGCAGGUGGUAGCCUCGAAGCUGGGAGGCUGCAUCUCAAGCCUCCUCCUAGAUCCGCGGUGGACCCUGGGAAAUGUAGUCCAGAGCAAGCCACCACCUAAAUGCGCCGUGGACCCUGGGAAAGGUGGUCCCUCGCAAGUCACCGCCUGGACGCAGGUUACCUCAAGAAGGAUAUACGUGACACGCGUAAACGUGACCACAACUUUGCAAAAAAACUGCAGGACUAAGAGUCAAGAGUUAAGAGGAGAUUUUUUCGGGAGUCUGAGGCAGGAGGACCACUUCAGGCCAGGAAGCUGAGGCCACAGUGAGCUGUAAUUGUGCCAUACAUAUAGACCCCCACACAUAAAAGUAGCAGAGGGAAAAACUGAUUUCUAGGUCAACAACUUAUGACAGAGGUACAUGGGAGCAGAAGAAAGGUAGGCAGAGGAGUCCAUGGAUCUACGAUGGCAGAGAUGAGUGAGAAGACAACGGGAAGUGUGAGAACAGGUGUAAAAUAUAAUUCUGAGGCAUUCAGCCACUAGAAAGGAUGAGAGAAGGUAGUAACAAAAAGGAACCUGAAUAUCAGACAAUAUGUAAGGUUUUACAAAGUAUAAAGGACAAUGUGUGAGGACAGGAAAAGGUAUGUGGAUGAAGGAGAACAGCCACCACAGUGGCGGCACAGACGAAGCAGGAAGGCUGACAUCAGAACAGCAACAGGAGGGGCGCCUGGCCCCUCUAGAAUCUGGUGAAAGAAGAAGAAUAAUGAAACACACAAAAAUGAUGACUGGAAGCGUCAUUCAGGAAUCUAAAAAUCUCAUACCAAGCAAUACUCUAUAUGUCUACAGCCUGGAAGAAAACAUCCUUUGAAGCACUUCAGAGGACUCAAUGCUGACUGAAAAACUGUGGCCUGCCUGUCAUUUACUCACCCGCGCAGAUCCUUCCCACUUCUUUCUCCACCAUACAGUUUGUCUUCUUGCUUCAACAGAGGAUCAUAUUAACUAUUGGGAAAAUGACACAGUAUUACAAUGUUAAUGCUGGGUCCAAAGUACCAUCCUAGAACUCAGGCUGAGCCCUGGGGUCUCCUGGCCUUCUGAAGAAUGAGGGUGCAACUUCCAAAGAUGCACAGAACAAAGUAAUGACCUUCUGCCUUAGUGACUAAAGCACACACAAUCAUGUGGGCAAAGGGACUAGGGCCAUUAGAAUCCUAAACUUCAAAGCCAUGCUCAUUAAACCAUUUAAAGUCUACACACAUCCAGAAAUGGGAGAAAGGGAGAAUUACCUUUCAGAAUUUUACUUACACAGGAGAGCUGUUCACACCUUGUGUGAGUGAUUGCUGUUUUUCUCUAGCACCACACUCCCACUCAGGGUCCUGAGAGGAUUUUAACUACAGCCCUUAUUCGUGGAUGAAUUCAACACCCAUGUCUGACUUUAACACGUUCCCAUCAGAACUAAAGCACAUGGGCACAAUGUGAAGAAGUUGUUCUGACAGUACUCAAGAAUAAAAACUCAAACAUUUUCCUGAAGUCCUAUUUACCCUCUUUGCAUUAUACUGAGAGUGAAAUUCUUUCUUUUUUUUUUUUUUUUUUUGAGACAGUUUCACUCCUGUUGCCCAGGCUAGAGUGCAAUUGUGCAAUCUCAGCCCACUGCAACCACCGCCUCCUGGGUUCAAGCAAUUCUCCUGCCUCAGCCUCCUGAGUAGCUGGGAUUAUGGGUGUGUACCACCACACCUGGCUAAUUUUGUAUUUUUAGUAGAGACAGAGUUUCACCAUGUUGGCCAGGCUGGUCUCGAACUCCUGACCUUAGGUGAUCCACCCACCUCAGCCUCCCAAAGUGCUGGGAUUACAGAUGUAAGCCACCGUGCCGUGUCCUAUUUCAUAUUAGAGAUGUCCUGGCCCAGGUGCAGUGGCUCACACCUAUAAUCCCAACACUUCGGGAGGCCGGAAGUGGGUGAAUCGUUUUGAGUGCAGGAGUUCAAGACCAGGCUGGGCAACACAGUGACACACCGUCCUUAUAAAAAUACAAAAUUAGCUGGGCGCAAUGGUGUGCGCCUGUAGUCUCAGCUACUUAAGAGGCUGAGGUGGGAGGAUGACUUGAGCCCAGGAGUUCAAGAUGGCCUGACAGAGUGAGACCUUGUCAUAAAAAAGAAAAGCAACAACCUGGAAUACAGGUUCAUCCAUUAGUUCAAAAAACAUUUUUAAGCCAGGUGUGGUGGUGUGCACAUGCAGUACCAGCUUCUCAGGAGGCUGAGACAGGAAGAUCACUCGAGCCCAGGACUUCCAGGCUGCAAAUACAUGAUCAUGCCUAUGAAUAGCCACUGCACUCCAAAAGAAAAAAAAAAAUCUUUUUUUUUUUUUUUGUGACAGAGACUCGUUCUGUUGCCCAGGCUGGGAGUGCAGUGACGUGAUCUCUGCUCACUGCAACCUCUGCCUCCCGGGUUCAAGCCAUUCUCCUGCCUCAGCCUCCCGAGUAGCUGGGAUUACAGGCAUGCGCCACUACACCCAGCUAAUUUUUGUAAUUUUAGUAGAGACAGGGUUUCACCACAUUGGCCAGGCUGGUCUUGAACCCCUGACCUCAGGUGAUCCGCCCACCUCUGCCUCCCAAAGUGCUGGGAUUACAGGUGUGAGCCACUGCGCCCAGCCAAAAAAAAAAUUUUUUUUUUUUUGAGAUGGAGUUUUACUCUUGUUGCCCAGGCUGGAGCGCAGUGGUGCGAUCUCGGCUCACUGCAACCUCCACCUCCCAGGUCCAAGUGAUUCUCCUGUCUCAGCCUCCGGAGCAGCUGGGACUAUAGGCAUGCGCCACCAUGCCCCACUAAUUUUUUAUUUUCAGUAGAGACGGAGUUUCUCUGUGUUAGGCUGAACUCCCAAACUCCCGACCACAGGUGAUCCACCUGCCUUGGCCUCCCAAAGGGCUGGGAUUACAGUUGUGAGCCACUGCACGUGGCCCAAAAGAAUUUUUUUAAUCAAUAGCAGACAUUAUUGGGAUGACUGACCAAAUUUGAAUAUGGACUUUGGAUUAAAUAAUACUAAUGUAUCAAUGUUAAACUUCCCGAUUUUGAUCACUGUACUGUAGUUAUGAAAAAGAAUGUUUUUGUUCUUGCAAAAUGCAUGCUGAAGUAUUUAUAGAUAAAGGAAGCAUGUC